rnacentral:rRNA from 1 species
AACACAUGCAAGUCGAACGAAGUAGCAAUACUUAGUGGCAGACGGGUGAGUAACAUGUAGGUAUCUGCCCUUUGGCCUGGAAUAACACGAGGAAACUUGUGCUAAUACCGGAUAAGUCUUUACGGAGAAAGCUUUAUGCACCAUUGGAUGAGCCUGCACUUGAUUAGUUUGUUGGUGGGGUAAUGGCCUACCAAGACUGUGAUCAAUAGCUGAUUUGAGAGGAUGAUCAGCCACAUUGGGACUGAGACACGGCCCAAACUCCUACGGGAGGCAGCAGUGGGGAAUCUUGCACAAUGGAGGAAACUCUGAUGCAGCGAUGCCGCGUGAGUGAAGAAGGCCUUUGGGUUGUAAAGCUCUUUCGUCGGGGAAGAAAAUGACUGUACCCGAAUAAGAAGGUCUGGCUAACUUCGUGCCAGCAGCCGCGGUAAUACGAAGGGACCUAGCGUAGUUCGGAAUUACUGGGCUUAAAGAGUUCGUAGGUGGUUGAAAAAGUUAGUGGUGAAAUCCCAGAGCUUAACUCUGGAACUGCCAUUAAAACUUUUCAGCUAGAGUAUGAUAGAGGAAAGCAGAAUUUCUAGUGUAGAGGUGAAAUUCGUAGAUAUUAGAAAGAAUACCAAUUGCGAAGGCAGCUUUCUGGAUCAUUACUGACACUGAGGAACGAAAGCAUGGGUAGCGAAGAGGAUUAGAUACCCUCGUAGUCCAUGCCGUAAACGAUGUGUGUUAGACGUUGGAAAUUUAUUUUCAGUGUCGCAGCGAAAGCGAUAAACAC